rnacentral:tRNA from 1 species
UUUUUUUUAGCUUAAUAAAGAGCGCUAGUUUGAAGCACUAGAGGUACUCCCGUAGUGAGGAGGU